ACCGAACGCUGGCGGCAGGCUUAACACAUGCAAGUCGAGCGGCCGUAGCAAUACGGCAGCGGCAGACGGGAGAGUAACACGUGGGCACGGACCCUUCAGUUCGGAACAACCAAGGGACAGUUUGGCUCAUACCGAAUACGUCCGUGAGGAGGAAGAUUUAUCGCUGAAGGGUCGGCCCGGGUCUGAUUAGCUAGUUGGUGGGGUAGCGGCUCACCAAGGCGACGAUCAGUAGCUGGUCUGAGAGGAUGAUCCGCCUCACUGGGACUGAGACACGGCGCAGACUCCGUCGGGAGGCAGAAGUGGAGAAUAUUGGACAAGGGGAGCAAGCCUGAACCGGCCAGGCCGCGUAGAUGAUGAAGGCCUUAGGGUUGGAAAGUCCUUUUAACGGGGAAGUUAAUGACGGUACCCGUAGAAUAAGCCCCGGCUAACUUCGUGCCAGCAGCCGCCGUAA
rnacentral:rRNA from 1 species